UACGUAGGGUGCAAGCGUUGUCCGGAUUUAUUGGGCGUAAAGAGCUCGUAGGCGGUCAGUCGCGUCGGAUGUGAAAACUUGGGGCUUAACCCUGAGCUUGCGGUCGAUACGGGCAUCACUGGAGUUCGGCAGGGGAGACUGGAAUUCCUGGUGUAGCGGUGAAAUGCGCAGAUAUCAGGAGGAACACCGGUGGCGAAGGCGGGUCUCUGGGCCGAUACUGACGCUGAGGAGCGAAAGCGUGGGGAGCAAACAGG
rnacentral:rRNA from 1 species